UGGAGGGAUUUAGAUUCAAAGGUUGGGUUGGUGUUCAUUGGAAAUAUGCUUGGAAUUUACUGCAGCUGCUGGAAGUAAGAUAGCCUGGAGGUGUGCAGAUUGUAGAGCAACAGCUGUUUCGUGGAGUCCUGAAACCAAGGGGCUUGAACUCAUGACCCGAGAUCAAGAGUCAGAUGCUCCACCAACUGAGCCAGCUUUGCGCCCGCAUCCUCAUUCUUCUCAUCUGUAAAAUAUUGGAGUUGGGUUCUGUCCUUUGUAAUGGAAAAAGUCCUGACUUACCACCUGAGGCUUGGUCUGAAUCAGAUGAAGGUGGCAACAUGGCUCAAUAAAACUAACACAUAUAGAACAUCUUCUGGGGAGUGAGCACAGAGCCAGGAACUUCCCCAAAUACUCUCGCAGGGUGCAAGGGUGGCAGUGCGGUGUGGACUGACUGGACACUGGGAGGCCAACCGUGGAAGCUGAAGGCAAAAUUGUAAUGAUGCCCUGCCUGGUUGUGCUCAAAUUAAACCUCUGACUGGUUACGUUCUAGAUCUGCUGCCCCUGGUGGGAACACAAGUGUGUUCUUGUCGAGAGAAAGAAAUGGCUCUUCCAUUAUCAAGAGUCAAGAUUAUUAUUUAAGGAAAGAGAUAUGCGGAUCAAAUUGCAGAAGCUGGGAAUUCUAGUUGGUUUGGGGGAGCAGAAUAGACUUUGGAGGGAAAUGAAAUCAGGCUUCCCUGUGGUAAAUUAGCAGUUACAGUCUUGUACAUGGGAAGCUGAAAAGGAAUCAUCCACCAGGGCCGGAUCUCUUAAGAAACUAAAUACCCUGGCUACCCAGGGUACUCUUUCAGACGGCAUUAAUGAUUGACAGUACCUGUGGAAUGAUCCAUGUUGUAUGUACAUCAUUCUGUAAUUAAAGUUUUCUUUUGCCCUCUCUUGACUUCUGUGACUUGACACAUAUUGCUUACCUUGUACACAUAAUACUAGCAGCUUCUGUAUUUUGAAAGGGCUUGGAUUCUAGAUAUGAAGUCAUUGGUCAUUAACUUUUUGUUAAGCACCUGCCAAAACAUAACCACGUAGAUGCUUAAUGAGUAACAGCAUUUGCCCUGAGCUUAUUGAUCCCAUGGAAAGGUUUUGGCACUCAUACCUAUCAAGUCAUAUGUACUUUAAUCAACAUAUCCUUACCAAUUGUGUCUCCUACUUUUGGACAGCGUCACCUCUUUCCAUAUCACUACAGUAAAAAAAUACAAUUGCGCUUACAAAGAAAUGCAAUUUCUCCCACGAAAACUAGUUUCUAUGGAAUUACAUGAUCAAGCAUGAAUACGUUAGGACUUGCGGCCUAUCUCCUUUCAGGAGACAGGCCUGAUGUUUUUAUGCCUUGCCUAGUUCCACGGCUCAUGUAAAUAAUACUUACCAAGCAGCUAGAGCCCUUAGCUGGCUGCAUGCUUAAUCCUACUGAGGGCUCAAAUCAGGUUCACCCCUGCAAGUGUUGGCAAAUGUCCAGCAGAGAGUGAGGUUGUUUUGAUCAUCUUAUCUCAUGUGAGGAAGCACAGCAGGAAUGGGUAAGAAGAGCAAAGACUUUGGAAUCCUACAGAGCAGGAUCCAGACACAAAGCUCUCCUUUAUCCUAACUUCGAACCUGGGCAAGUCGCUUCAACCCUUUAAGCCUCAAUUUCUUCAUCUGUAAAAUGAAGGUUGGUUGAACCACCUCAUUGUUCUAGGAUUAAAUGAGUUAAUAGAGGUAUAAAUAGCUUAACAGAGUGCCUUCUAUGGGGUAAUCACAGAUAACUACCACUGGCUAUCAUUUCUGGCCCACGGGUAGAUCAAACAAAACUCAUAUGGCUUUCUCAGAUUCUUGUCUCUAAAUUAAAUCAAUGGUUCUAAGCUGGGGGGCAAUGUUUGCCCUCCCACUCCUAUUCACAAAGACAUUUGGCCACGUCUGGAGACAUUUUUGGUUGUCCCAACUCACAGCGGGGGUGGAGAGGGGUGGAGAGGCUGCUGCUGGCAUCCAAUGGGUAGAGGUAGUGGGAUAUAUCGUUUGUAAACUUCGGGGAUUGCAUAGACAACCCUCCCAUCCUUGUUCCCCCUUAGUGAGGAAUUAUCUGGUUCAAAAUGUCAAUAGUGCUGAGAUAGAGAAACUCUGAAGUAAAUGGAAAGGAAUCCUUCCACAGAUGAGUCACACAUCAAUCCUCAUCAAAAAACCAGUGUAUCAACAAAUACUUGCCGCUCUUGUGUUCCAGGUAUCAUAUCAUCAGCUUUUUGCAGUUUAUGCAGCAUCUUCUCAUAUAUUAAUCUACUCAUUCUGACAAAAGCCCUGAAAAAACAAGCUGGGCUGGCAUGAACCACCCCCCUCACCCCCUUUCUCUGCUGCAGACGAAAAGUCAGGCUGAGAGGUUGACUUUCUUAGAAAAACACAGAUGGUAAUUAAACCCAGAUGUUGAGUCCCAAAUACAGUGUUUCUGCCAUUCUCACAUGCCCCGCAUUGCAUUUCUGCGGGGAAUGCAGGAGACAUUUUAGACAUGGUUCCUCCCCCAAGAUUUUUACUCAACUGUUAGGAGAUUUACACCCAUGAACACUUAUGUAUACAUCCUGGGCUAUAAUAGAUACACGUUCCACCUCCCGUCCCCAUCCCUUCAGGGUUGAGAGUCCUGCCAUGCAGCUCACCUGAAACCAGUGUUUUCUUUCUCCCAAAUCUUAGAGGGCUGUUUUGCAACAAAAAUGUAGUAACUUGUCUGAAAAACCAGGGUGCUACCCUUCUUUACAAUCUGUACUUUCCUAGCAUAUGCCAUCAUGUUCCUUUUUCCCCACCAGCCCUCCUACA